UAACCAGUCAUUCAUCAUACCUGAAUUUCUUGAGUUAUACAGCUCCGAGGGAUCUCAAAUUUGGAUAUGUUGUAGUUCACAAGCUGAGGAACAACUUCAAUGAAGAAAGCAUACCGAUCUGAACAAGAGAAAAUGGAGUUUCGAAGCUCACAACAAAUCUGACGGGUUGACAGAAAAAUAAUAACCAGUCAUUCAUCAUACCUGAGUUUCUUGAGUUAUACAGCUCCGAGGGAUCUCAAAUUUGGAUAUGUUGUAGUUCACAAGCUGAGGAACAACUUCAAUGAAGAAAGCAUACCGAUCUGAACAAGAGAAAAUGGAGUUUCGAAGCUCACAACAAAUCUGACGGGUUGACAGAAAAGAAAAAUAAUAACCAGUCAUUCAUCAUACCUGAGUUUCUUGAGUUUAUACAGCUCCGAGGGAUCUCAAAUUUGGAUAUGUUGUAGUUCACAAGCUGAGGAACAACUUCAAUGAAGAAAGCAUGCUGAUCUGAGCAAGAGAAAAUAGAGUUUCAAAGCUCACAACUAAUCUGACGGGUUGACAGACAAAUGAUAAACAGUCACUCAUCAUACCUGGAUUUCUGGAGUUGUACUGCUCCGAUGGCUCUCCAAUUUGGAUAUGUUGUAGUUAAGGAAUUAACGAACAACUUUCAUGAAGACAACUUUGUGAUUCGACCUACAGAUGAUGGUGUUAUGUUGAAAAACAAUUCCGGUUGUUAGGGGAAAUGAAAAACAAUUCCAC
rnacentral:lncRNA from 1 species